rnacentral:rRNA from 1 species
UACGUAGGAGGCAAGCGUUGUCCGGAAUUACUGGGUGUAAAGCGCGUGUAGGCGGCAGGCCAAGUCUGUGGUGAAAUCGCUCGGCUCAACUGGGCGGGGUCCAUGGAAACUGGUCAGCUGGAGGACGGUAGAGGUGAGUGGAAUUCCCGGUGUAGUGGUGAAAUGCGUAGAGAUCGGGAGGAACACCCGUGGCGAAGGGCGG